rnacentral:rRNA from 1 species
CACGUAGGGCGCGAGCGUUGUCCGGAAUUAUUGGGCGUAAAGAGCUCGUAGGCGGCCUGUUGCGUCCGCUGUGAAAGCCCGGGGCUUAACCCCGGGUCGGCAGUGGAUACGGGCAGGCUAGAGGUAGGUAGGGGAGAAUGGAAUUCCCGGUGUAGCGGUGAAAUGCGCAGAUAUCGGGAGGAACACCGGUGGCGAAGGCGGUUCUCUGGGCCUUACCUGACGCUGAGGCGCGAAAGCUAGGGGAGCAAACAGG